rnacentral:misc_RNA from 1 species
GUGAAUCAUCGAAUUUUUGAACGCAAAUUGCACUCCCUUCGGAGAGAAUGCCUGUUUGAGGGUCAGCCUAAAAAAUAUCGACAUCGUUGCUGUCUCGCGGUGGCGUUCGUCGGCCAUUGUAUUAUCUUAAAUCUUUGGAUUAAGCUACUUAACCUUUUCUUUACGAUUCCAUGAACGUUUCUAUGAUUUAUUUCUUUCCACGUUUAAGGUA